GCCAAUGUGGCAUGGUGGUUGAGUGUUGGACUACAACUCUGGAGACCAGGGUUCAAUUCCCUGCUGAGCCA